UACGUAGGGCGCAAGCGUUAUCCGGAAUUAUUGGGCGUAAAGAGCUCGUAGGCGGUUUGUCGCGUCUGCCGUGGAAAGUCCGGGGCUCAACUCCGGAUCUGCGGUGGGUACGGGCAGACUAGAGGUGAUGUAGGGGGAGACUGGAAUUCCUGGUGUAGCGGUGAAAAUGCGCAGAUAUCAGGAGGAACACCGAUGGCGAG
rnacentral:rRNA from 1 species